rnacentral:tRNA from 1 species
AAUGAAAGACCUAUAAGGGAUUAUUUUGAUAGAGUAAGUUUAUUAAAUGUAUUAUUUAUUUUCAUUU